UGUUUUGCUGUUAUCAGGUGGAACACGAUGCAAUUUUGGUUGGUGUAAUAGGAGGAAAAUUGCACGGUAUCCAUCUGUAAACCGCAGG
rnacentral:pre_miRNA from 7 species